CGGUUGGGAGAGGAGGUCGCGGUGCAGGCAGCUCGGUCUCUCUCUCCCAUCUCCUGCAGCCUGGCUGUGCUUGUUGGGGGCGAGGGGGCUCUUGCUUAUCGCCUCUGCGGCCGGGUGCCGUUGUUCUCUGUCUAGCGUGGUCUUUUGUUUCCUCGUCGCCGGCCUGUCAAGUUCGCUCCGCGCCCGGUCGCCCGUGCGGCCGUCCGGUGCAGAUUUCGCCGAUGGUCGCUCUCCUACAGCACCGCGGUCCUGUGGGUCUGAGGAUUUCUUCCAGUGCUUCGGUUGGGAGCCCCAGUGAGCGGAAAGUCUCCAGCAUCGUUUCCCGAUCCUCGGAGUAUU